GAUGAAGAACGCAGCGAAAUGCGAUAAGUAAUGCGAAUUGCAGAAUUCCGUGAGUCAUCGAAUCUUUGAACGCACAUUGCACCUCUCGGUAUUCCGGGAGGUAUGCCUGUUCGAGCGUCAUUUGUACCCUCAAGCUCUGCUUGGUGUUGGGUGUUUGUUCCGCCUCUGUGUGUGAACUCGCCUCAAAACAAUUGGCAGCCGGCGUACUUGUUUCGGAGCGCAGCACAUUUUGCGAUCCAGAUCAACGUACAGCGGCAUCCAAGAAGCCUUAUUUAACGCUCUUGACCUCGGAUCAGGUAGGGAUACCCGCUGAACUUAAGCAUAUCAAUAAGCGGAGGA
rnacentral:misc_RNA from 1 species